rfam:Cerapachys biroi unplaced genomic scaffold scaffold68, whole genome shotgun sequence.
AUCGCUUCUCGGCUCUCUGAGCUAAGAUCAAAUGUGUAGUAUCUGUUCUUAUCAGCUUAAUAUCUGAUACAAUCCCCAUGUGGGAUUCAGAAUAUUAAACUGAUUUUUGGAAACUGGUGGAGGUAUGGAGCUUGCUCCGACUCCACCACUGGUCAUCCCGACAUUGCAGUACCAUCGGGAUUGGCCUCCUAAUU